rnacentral:rRNA from 1 species
GUGUCAGCAGCCGCGGUAAGACAGAGGUGGCAAGCGUUGUUCGGAUUUACUGGGCUUAAAGGGCGUGUAGGCGUCCUGAUAAGUCAGGUGUGGAAUCCCUGGGCUCAACCCAGGAAUUGCACUUGAAACUGUCAGGAUUGAGUCAUGCAUAGGAGGGCGGAAUUCCUGGUGUAGCGGUGAAAUGCGUAGAUAUCAGGAGGAAGGCCUGUGGCGAAGGCGGCCCUCUGGCGCUCAACUGACGCUGAGGCGCGAAAGCGUGGGUAGCAAACAGGAUUAGAUACCCCGGUAGUCCACGCCCUAAACGGUGGGCACUAGGUGUGGGGCUCGAGAGGGUUCCGUGCCGAAGGGAAACCAAUAAGUGCCCCGCCUGGGGAGUACGGCCGCAAGGUUGAAACUUAAAUGAAUUGGCGGGG